rnacentral:rRNA from 1 species
AUUGAACGCUGGCGGCAGGCCUAACACAUGCAAGUCGAACGAGUGGCGGACGGGUGAGUAAUGUCUGGGAAACUGCCUGCUGGAGGGGGAUAACUACUGGCAACGGUAGCUAAUACCGCCUACCAUCGGAUGUGCCCAGAUGGGAGUAGCUAGUGGGUGGGGUAAAGGCUCACCUAGUCGACGAUCCAUAGCUGGUCUGAGAGGAUGACCAGCCACAGUGGAGCUGGGACACGGUCCAGACUCCUACGGGAGGCAGGAGUGGGGAACAUUGCGCAAUGGGCGCAAGCCUGAUGCAGCCAUGCCGCGUAUAUGAAGAAGGCCUUCGGGUUGUAAAGUACUUUCAGCGGGGAGGCGGUACCCGCAGAAGAAGCACCGGCUAACUCCGUGCCAGCAGCCGCGGUAAUUC